GAGGGGAUAGCUCAGUGGUUAAGAGCACUGGCUGCUCCUCCAGAGGCCCUGAGUUCAAUUCCCAGCACCCACA
rnacentral:tRNA from 1 species